GAUGAACGCUGACAGAAUGCUUAACACAUGCAAGUCUUUGGCGAAGCUGUGCUUGCACAGCCUAGCCAAGGCGGACGGGUGAGUAACGCGUAAGGAACUUGCCCUGCAGUCAGGGAUAACAGACGGAAACGACUGAUAAGACCUGGUAAAGUCAGGCGGACUCAUGUCCAGCCUGAUGAAAAGAGAUGCUGCAGGAGAGCCUUGCGUCCUAUUAGCUUGUUGGUGGGGUAACGGCCCACCAAGGCGAUGAUAGGUAGCCGGCCUGAGAGGGUGGACGGCCACAAGGGGACUGAGAUACGGCCCUUACUCCUACGGGAGGCAGCAGUGGGGAAUAUUGGACAAUGGGGGCAACCCUGUUCCAGCAAUUCUGUGUGCACGAUGAAGGUUUUCGGAUUGUAAAGUGCUUUCAGCAGGGAAGAAAAAAAUGACGGUACCUGCAGAAGAAGCGACGGCUAAAUACGUG
rnacentral:rRNA from 1 species